GACAGAGGGUGCAAACGUUGUUCGGAAUUACUGGGCGUAAAGCGUGUGUAGGCGGCUACGCAAGUCGGAUGUGAAAGCCCCGGGCUCAACCCGGGAAGUGCACCCGAAACGGCGUGGCUCGAGUACCGGAGAGGUUGGUGGAAUUCUCGGUGUAGAGGUGAAAUUCGUAGAUAUCGAGAGGAACACCGGUGGCGAAGGCGGCCAACUGGACGAGUACUGACGCUGAGGCACGAAAGCGUGGGGAGCAAACAGG
rnacentral:rRNA from 1 species